GGAAAAUAGAAUCCAUAACUUCAAGAGAAGGAUUGGCUGUGGGGGUCGAGUUAGACGGGCCGAGAUCGGACACGUGUUAGUCCAGUUGGAGGCUGGUUUCUCUGCAUAUUGUUUGCGCUUUAGUGCGCAAUGUUAUGGAGUUGCUGGACCCUGACCGCGAUCGGUCAAGGGUGGUCUCAGUUGCUAGCAUUGUAUGGCUGGCAACGUGUGUGGACUUGCUCUGCGUUGCGCCAAGCAGCUCUACUCCCGUUGUUUCGCGCGCGACUGCUAACCCAGAACUGGUGUGAUCAGAAGGAACCAGAGUGCCUAAUUAAAACGAGGCAUUGUGAAGUCCACUGACCGGUUAUGACGCAGCGUCAUUUCCGCCUAGUGCUCUGAAUGUCAAAGUGGAGGAAUUCAAAUAAGCGCGAGUAAACAGUGGGAGUAACUAUGGACCGUUACCCGUACGCUUAUUUCUGAUAUGGUGCCAUUCAUGCGAAAUAAAAUUGUCACGUUUGACGAGCGCGGAGGUAGUUUCCGGUUUUGCAG
rnacentral:ncRNA from 1 species